rnacentral:rRNA from 1 species
GGUGAGUCGGGUCCUAAGGCGAGGCCGACAGGCGUAGUCGAAUGGAUGAACGGGUGGAUAUUCCCGUACCGACCAUGGACCGGCAAAACCGAGACGGUGAGUACUAACCUCCGCCUCGUGGUGGUUCCUUCCUUCGGGUUGGUUCCGCCGCGUGGUGUUGGGAGCGUAGCCGCAGUAGGUCAGCGCAGGGGUGACACGGAAUGGGAGCCGGCCGCGGAGGUGGUUUUCCGUGGUCAAGCACGCAGCCAGUCAUGUAGGCAAAUCCGCAUGGCGUGCAUGGCGAGGUGUGAUGAUGGGAGCCGUUAUGGCUCGAUAUCCGGUUGUCCAGGCCGUCGAGAAAAGCCUCGGCGUGAGGGCCAUGGCCGCCCGUACCCCAAACCGACACUGGUGGUCAGGUAGAGAAUACCAAGGCGAUCGAGCGAAUCCUGGUCAAGGAACUCGGCAAAUCACUCCCGUGCCUUCGGUAUAAGGGAGACCCACUGGGGUGAAGGACCUUGCGUCCGGAGCUUUGGUGGGUGGCACAGACCAGGGGGUAGCGACUGUUUACCAAAAACACAGGUGCAUGCGAAGGCGAAAGCCGCUGUAUAUGCACUGACGCCUGCCCGGUGCCGGAAGGUUAAGAGGAUCCGUCAGCCUUCGGGUGAAGCGGUGAAUUCAAGCCCCGGUAAACGGCGGUGGUAACUAUAACCAUCCUAAGGUAGCGAAAUUCCUUGUCGGGUAAGUUCCGACCUGCACGAAUGGCGUAACGACUUCCCCACUGUCUCGACCAGGAGCUCGGCGAAAUUGCAGUACGAGUAAAGAUGCUCGUUAAGCGCAGAAGGACGAAAAGACCCCGGGACCUUUACUAUACCUUGGUAUUGGCGUUAGGCGCGGAUUGUGUAGCAUAGGCGGGAGGCUUCGAAGCGUGGGCGCCAGCUCAUGUGGAGCCGCAAGGUGAAAUACCGCUCUGUUCUCGUUUGACGUCUAACCUCGACAAGUCAUCCUUGUCAGGGACAGUGCCUGGCGGGUAGUUCAACUGGGGCGGUUGCCUCCCAAAGAGUAACGGAGGCGCUCAAAGGUCCGCUCAGCCCGGUUGGCAAUCGGGUGUCGAGUGUAAUCGCACAAGCGGGCUUGACUGCGAGGACGACGGUCCGAGCAGGGACGAAAGUCGGAGAUAGUGAUCCGGUGCCGGCGCACGGGCGCGGCAUCGCUCAACGGAUAAAAGGUACCCCGGGGAUAACAGGCUGAUCAUUCCCAAGAGUCCAUAUCGACGGGAUGGUUUGGCACCUCGAUGUCGGCUCGUCGCAUCCUGGGGCUGGAGCAGGUCCCAAGGGUUCGGCUGUUCGCCGAUUAAAGCGGCACGCGAGCUGGGUUCAGAACGUCGUGAGACAGUUUGGUCUCUAUCCUCUGCGCUCGUUGGAAUCCUGAGGAGGCCUGCCCAUAGUACGAGAGGACCUGGGUGGACGAACCUCUGGUAUGCCGGUUGUCGCGCCAGCGGCACGGCCGGUUGGCUACGUUCGGGAGGGAUAACCGCUGAAAGCAUCUAAGCGGGAAGCCUGCUCCAAGAUUAGGAUUCCGUACGGUCUUGAACCGUUGUAGCCCGCAUGUUGAACACGUGUUUGAUAGGCCGGAGGUGGAAGCCCCGUGAGGGGUGGAGCCGACCGGUACUAACGGGCGACGGCGACACAA